rnacentral:rRNA from 1 species
UACGAAGGGGGCUAGCGUUGCUCGGAAUCACUGGGCGUAAAGGGUGCGUAGGCGGGUCUUUUAAGUCAGGGGUGAAAUCCUGGAGCUCAACUCCAGAACUGCCUUUGAUACUGAAGAUCUUGAGUUCGGGAGAGGUGAGUGGAACUGCGAGUGUAGAGGUGAAAUUCGUAGAUAUUCGCAAGAACACCAGUGGCGAAGGCGGCUCACUGGCCCGAUACUGACGCUGAGGCACGGAAGCGUGGGGAGCAAACAGG